rnacentral:lncRNA from 11 species
GCACAAAAUAAACCAACUGGGGCUUAUCCAUCACUUAUUCAGGAAAGAAAAGAUAACAGCAAGUAUCAAGACUUCCCAGUUCUUUUUGUUUUGAUUUUCCUGUACUUUUUACCUCAUAGUUAAGCAUUACAACCAUUGUCUUUUAUUGCUAGCAUUCUGCUUUGCCUUGCUUUAUCUCUGUUGAAUUUGCUGCCUUGGGAACAGUCAUUGUUCCUUGGCGGUGGCCCUGUUAGCUCAUUCUGGGACACAACCAUGGAAAUGAUAUUUUAUUUUGGGAAAUAAUUGGUUAAUUUACACUGACCUGGAAAGUGACUAUAAAAGAAUGUAAUCUAUAAAUUAGCCAGUGACAUAAAGAUGAAUUAUUUUUGUGUUCAUCUCUUUUUCUCUCUGUCUCUUUGUCCAAAAGCAGUAAUUUGAUUCACUUAUAUAAUCUGCUUCCUGUGAAACAGCUUUUAUCAUAAUGCGUAGCCAUUUGUGACCAUCCCUUAGAGAAACAGUUUUCUAAGAAAUGAGGGUGGAUCUGUGCCAAGCGCAUCACGUGAUCUUAAUUGCAUUUGCACUUAGCAUAGUUUCCACUGGUAUUUUGGAAUUUUUGUGUCACAGUCCUUGGCUAAUCCAUCAGGAUCUCGUGUCUUAAGAGACUGUCUUCCAACUGAGAGAAAGCGCAACUGAGCUCUGGACCAGGAAAUUUCCAUCCACUAUCACUCAUCCUCAGCCCACUCUCCUGUAAUGUUUAUUAACCUCCUUGAGUCAGAUUGGCAGAAAUAUAUACAGAAGGAUGAAGGAAGGAAGGAAGGAAUCAAGCAAGGAAGGAAGGAAGCAGGAAGGAAGGAGAUGAACCAACCGGAGUGUUCCUCAAUAUACUAUAGGUUGAGAAUCCCAUUUCCGAAUUGCUUGAGACCAGGUAAUUUUGGAAUUUGGGUUGUAUUUUUCAUAUACACAUUACACAAAAAACCUACAACAAAACAUCAAAACAUCAGAAAGCAAAGGUGUCACUAUCCCAACCACCCUUCUGAAAGUUUUUGCAGCAUUUGAGAUUUCCAGAUAAAGGGUGCUCAAUCUGUAGCAUAACUUUGAUCAACUGAAUGAAGUAUAAUUUGACAAACAAGAAUAGCUCUCCAAAUCUCCUUCCUGAAGCAAUCACUUUGCAACCAAAAUGGCAGGUUAAAACCUGGAACCUCAACCCAUGGCUGAUACUGAAUGAGAGACUCCUUCAUGGGCACACAGAAGACUGGGCGACUCGGAAGGCGCUGAACAGACUGCGCUCUGGCACCACGCGAUGCAGAGCCAACCUUAAGAAAUGGGGUCACAAAGUGGAGUCCACGACAUGCGAGUGUGGAGAAGAGCAAACCACAGACCAUCUACUAUAAUGCAGCCUGAGCCCUGCCACAUGCACAAUGGAGAACCUUCUUAUAGCAACACCAGAGGCACUCCAAGUGGCCAGCUACUGGUCAAAGAACAUAUAGUAUAAUGCCAAGUUUUUUUUAACAUUGUGUUUUUAAAUACAUUACAACGGUACCCUUGGUUGGCU